rnacentral:rRNA from 1 species
UAAGGAAUAUUGGUCAAUGGGCGGAAGCCUGACCCAGCCAUGCCGCGUGGAGGAUGAAGGUCCUCUGGAUUGUAAACUUCUUUUAUCAGGGGCGAAAAAGGGCCAUUCUUGGUCAACUGACGGUACCUGAUGAAUAAGCACCGGCUAACUCCGUGCCAGCAGCCGCGGCAAUACGGAGGGUGCAAGCGUUAUCCGGAUUUACUGGGUUUAAAGGGAGCGUAGGCGGGUAGGUAAGGCAGGGGUGAAAGC